CGCGAUUGAACAAGUGCAUGCCAAUGAAAUACCAAAAGCAAAAAUUGAUGCCAAUAAAGACGUUGAUAAGCAAGUUCAAGCAUUAAUUGACGAAAUUGAUCG
rnacentral:rRNA from 1 species